UAAGCGGAGGAAAAGAAACUAACUAGGAUUCCCUCAGUAGCUGCGAGCGAACAGGGAAGAGCCCAGCACCGAAUCUCGCGGCCGAUACCGGGCGCCGGGAAAUGUGGUGUUAGGGAGGAUCCGUCUAUCCCGAGGUCGUGCGGUGCGUCCAAGUCCUUCUUGAACGGGGCCACAGCCCAUAGAGGGUGCCAGGCCCGUAGCGACCGCUGCCGAUCGCGGGAGGAUCCCUCCUCAGAGUCGGGUUGCUUGAGAGUGCAGCCCUAAGUGGGUGGUAAACUCCAUCUAAGGCUAAAUAUGACCACGAGACCGAUAGCGAACAAGUACCGUGAGGGAAAGUUGAAAAGCACUUUGAAGAGAGAGUUCAAGAGUACGUGAAACCGUUCAGGGGUAAACCUGAGAAACCCGAAAGGUCGAAAGGGGAAAUUCAUUCGCGUAUCGCGCGCCGUUCGCACCUUCCGUUCUUCGAACCGGCGUCGAACGCGUGCACUUUUCCCCUAGUAGGACGUCGCGAUCCGUUGGGUGUCGGUCCUCGUGGUGGAGCCCGUACGGUCGCUUCGUGCGGACCCACGGUGUUCCGGCCGACUCGCUCGACGGUAUACAAAUGGCGUGGGGCCGCUAGGUAGUUAGCGUUCGGCACGUGGCAAGCGCGUUCGCGACGGCGAUCGGACCUCGUGCCGGUCCUGUCCCCGAACGACUGUUGGCCACACUCGAACAGACCUCACAUAAACGCCGAUCUGCGACGCUAUAGCUUUGGGUACUUUCAGGACCCGUCUUGAA
rnacentral:rRNA from 1 species